rnacentral:tRNA from 1 species
GCCGCGUUGGCGUAGUGGUAGCGCGUCUCACUUGUAUUUACUAAUAGGAAUUAACCUGUCGUUGCAAUGAGAAGGUCACUCGUUCAAUCCGGGUACGUGGCA